GGGCUCGGGGGCGGGGAGGCCCCUCCGGCGGGGCGGCCCUGGGUGGUCCGGCAGAGGCGGAGGCCGCUCCGAGCCUGUGAGCCCUGGGCGCCUGCGGAGGCGGGGAGAGGGCGGGGUGUGCCGCCCUGGUGGGGACCGCGGGGUCGGAGAGGGGACAUUGCCCCCCCCGAGGCGAACGUCCAACCGCGGGUCCGGGUCCCCGCCCAAGGCCGCCCCGCGAGGUGGCCUCGGCCCGGCCGUCCCCGAGGGUGGCUCGGAUCCUUUCAACCAGCGCGCUGGAGGCGAAGGGGCUGCGCCAUUCCGGGUCAGGCAGCCAACGCGGGACACGCGCGUCUCCGAGCUUGCGGCCCGCGAAACCCGGGUGACCUACCGCGCCGGUGCCCUCAAAGCCCCCACGCCCGGGCCGGUGGCCGCUGCAGCCACUGAGCCACGCGGUCUCCCCGGCCCGGUCGGCAGAAGGAGCUGGUCCGUUACUAGAAAAGUCCAGAUGCAAAGUCGGGGGUCGUGCUGCCGCUUCCUGCCAGCGCACCGCACCCACCUGGGGCCGCCACCGACCGCACAGGACGCGCCUCCUACCCCCUGUUCUGGCCCGGCCGAGAGCUGGUGCCCCCAGCGGCCGCCCGCCCCCGUCCGCAGACCCCGGGGCCCUUGCUGCUUUGCAUUGGGAACAACCGGAGCCAGGCCCGGAGCUGAGGGGGCCAGGGCCUUUGGAGGAAGCAUUGGCCUCCAGGCUGAAGAGCAAGGGCCGUGUCACCUGCCCGGAGGGCGGUCUCAUCUCUGCAGCCAGGUCAGAGGAAGCAGCGGUGGGGAGACGGAGUGCGCGAGUUGGGAGGCUCCACGCAUCGUAGGUGGAGAGCUGGCUGCCAGCCUGGCCUGCCCUCUCUUCCCCGUCCCACCAUCUCGCUUGGCUCCGGCACCUGCCUGGGAAGACCCACACCUCCGUCUGCAGUGCCUCUUCCCCCUGGAGGCCCUGCCCUCCGCUCGGGGUCCCCGCAUCCUUCCGUGGCCCUCAGAGCAUCGCCUGGGGCGCCCGCGGAACUCAUCUGUUAGGCCUGGGAUGCAGGCAGGCAGAAGUGGGGGUUUAAGUGGAAGCAGUGAGGGUGGGGGUCCGGUCCAAACUGUGCCACCUUCCACCCCCUGCCCCUGGGAGAGCAGACAUCGCCCACUCGGGCUCACAGUGCCAUCCGGGUGAGGACCUCCGUGGAGAGCUCUCUUUGCCAAAGAAAAGCAGUUGCAUUAGGUCUGCGAGCAGGCAGGGUGGCCUCUUCCUGGCUCCCCAUCCACCAAGGAAGCUUCAAGUCCCUGGGACACAGGUGGGGAACUCCAGCACCCCUGGAGGAAGGGAGACUGAGGUUGGGGAGUGGCAUCCAGGCCCUGACUCUGGGGCACGGUGGUCUGUGCAACUGAGACCCUGCCUCAGGCUCCAACAGCGCCUGCUCCUUUCCCCAGGUUGCAGUGAUCACCAGGGGAGGUGCUGGGCGUGCAGGCUGCCACAGGAGGGGUGGGGAGGUGGGGAGUCUCUGUGGCGGGGUGGUGGGGGCCUAGGCCAGUCAGCUGAGGACGUGUUGGUGCACUCCCGGGAGGGCGGUAUGUGGGUGAGGAUCCCCAUGCAGAGUGGUGCCCACAAACCCCCCUUCCAGAGUCAUCUCUGGUCCACCUUGAAGUCCCCAGGAAAAUGACCUCGUCCUCCGCGGGUGUGAGCCACUAGGCCUGAGAGGACGCCGGGACGGAGCUUUCAGAGAGGGAGGUGUCGGGAUGGCUUGAGGGUCACCAGGUAUUAAUUAAGCACUUGCUGUGUGCCAGGCACUUUCCCACACAGGAUGGAGCCGGGCCACCCUCACAGCUCCUGCCCUGCAGACGCUGGCCUUGUGGAGGGAGGCAGGCAGCAGGUAACUCCAAAAGCACCUCUCAGAGGCGGGGACUUCAGGAAGGAUGGUCUGGGAAAGCAUCUUUGGUGUCAUUUAAGCUGAGCCCUGAAGCUUCUGAUCUCCUGCAGGGAGAGGCCAGCGUGUUCCCUGGGGAAGCUAGAGCAGAGUGUCUGAUGACAAGAGAUGGACCCGGGGGUGGAGAGUGGAGGGGCAGCCAUCAGAGCCACCUCUGAGUCCACCUGAUGGGCCCAUGUCUUCAUCCAGGGGGGAGCUGCACACACACCCUCCUCCCCUGUCUCCCAUCCCUGCCCCACCCCUUCAGCUGGGGCCUGCUCCGCCGUGUCUGCAUGGCCCCACCCACCCUGACCUCACCACCUGCUAGUGGGCCUUGCAGUUUCAGGGGGAGUGUACGUUUCAAGUAUACCCUGAUGGGGGAAUCUGGACCAGGGCUGUCCCCUGGGCCGUGAGUGCCGGGCGUGGAGAGCUGGUGUAGAUGACAUUUGUAGCUCCACAUGCCCUGGCCUGGGCGCCAAGGACAGCCGCAGAGAAGAAUGUGGGUGGACAGGCUCUGCUGCCCAUGAGAUGGUGCAGGGAUGGCCUGGGGGAUGCUUCCAGAUGAGAGACCACCCCACCCUACCCGUGGCUCCUAGGGAUGGCGACCCCGGAGGCGCGUGUGUUCAUGUGUGUGUGUGGUGUGUGUUUGUAUGGUAUGUAAUGUGUGAUAUGUGUAUGGGAUGUAUGUAUGGGGUGUGUUUAUGGUGUGUGUGGUGCGUGUAUAGUGUGUAUGGUGCGUGUAUAGUGCGUAUGGUGUGUAUGGUGUGUGGUGUGUAUGUGUAUGAUGUGUGUGAUGUAUGUGUGUGGGGUGCGUGUAUGGUGUGUGGUGUGUGUGUGUGUGUAUGAUGUAUGUGUGUGGUGUGGUGUGUGUAUGGUGUGUGGUGUGUGUGUGUCCGUGUGUGUUUGGUGUGGUGUAUGUGUGCAGGGUGUGGGUGUGUUUGUGUGUGUGUGAUGUGUGGUGUGCGUGUGUAUGAUGUGUGUGUGUGGUGUGUGUGUGUGCGUGUAUGUGUGUGGUGGGGUGUGUGUAUGGUGUGUGGUGUGUGUGCGUGUGUAUGAUGUAUGUGUGUGGUAUGUGUGUGGUGUGUGUGUUUAGUGUGUGGUGUAUGUGUGCAGGGUGUGGGUGUGUUUGUGAUGUGUGGUGUGCAUGUGUAUGGUGUGUGUGUGUGUGUGGUGUGUGUUGGGCCCAGGGCACGAGGAGGAAGCAGGGCUGCCCAGGGAAAUGCCACCCUGGAGAGGCCCCUGUCCCUCCCUCUCCGUCCUUCCCUGUGCCCCUCCGUCCCUCCCUGCCCGUCCUCCCCGUCCCCCUCCAUCCACCCCCAACCCGGCCCUCCUCCUGCGGCAGGCAGCCCAUCUUUUGUGCGGCCUCUGAGAAGCACAGGGAGGGCCCGGCGGGCGUGAACCCGCUGGCAGCCGGUGUGUGCACAGCCUUGGCCCGGGCCUCCCAGCCCCUGCAUCCCGAGCACCCGUGGGGCAGUUGGCAGCGUCCUGGCACGGCCUGGGAGAUUAAUUGGUGCUUUUAAUGACGGCUGGUCUGGCAGAGACAGAGUGACUACAGGCUGGGCCGGCGCAGGCUGUGAGCAGAGGCUGGGAAAGGCCCCGCCCCCGGACGGGUCUCCAGGGGAGAGGAGGGGUUCGCAGGACCCCUCUCAAGACCCCCUUCGGGAGUCAGCUUCUUGGCCACGCACACUUGGAGCUCUGGGCUGGGUUGCAGCUCCCUGUACUUCACUGUCUCGGGUGCUGGCAGUGCCAGCUGGGGCACGAGUUCCGGUUUGGGUCAAGGCUGGCCUGUUGGCUGGGGUGGCGUCUGCCUGAGAACUGGCCUUGUCUGUGCCUUAAGCUUCCUGGCGCUCACAGGGCAGUGGAAAACCACUCAGUGAGUCUUUCUUGGCACCUUGCAGGAGCAGUGCUUUCUGGGCCUCUGUAGCCAGAGCUGGCCCUGCUGCAGCUUACGUCUGCCUGCAGCCCAGACGUCCUCCUGGUCCUCCUGAUGCCCCCGACCUCCACGGAGGACGAGCAUUUCCAGCCCAGCCCUCCCCAUCUUCACCUCGCACUCCCCUGACACACUGGGAGCCUCCUGAUCCGUGAACCCGCGCUGGCGGGAGUAGCUACUGACCGCUGGGGACCCCUGCCCAGGCUGUUCGCAUGUGGAAAGGAUUCAGGGAGCAGGCGAUGCCCAAAGCGUGGAGACCAGCACUGCUCUCUCCCCAGUGACAGGUGCACGCCCAGAUCACGGAUGUGUCGGGAACAGCUGUGCUCCUGCUGCUCAGCGUCCGUCACUCCAGGCUGGGAGCGGGUCCCCAAGCUUCUGGCUGGGCCUAUCCGUCUCCACUCUCAGUGUGGGGGUGGGGGGCGCCAACAGCACGCAUUUGCUCUCUGCACUUCUCGUCUGAUAAUGGGCAGAGGGUCCUUCUGCAGCCCCAAAACAUCCCUAGGCAGGAGCCCUGGGGCCCCAAGCAGCCAGGGAGGUGAGCACCAAGGACCUCCCAGAGAGCGUCACCUUCCGUCGAGGGAGGCCCAGCCUGGGGGCGGUGUCUGAGACUUGGAAUCAACGCUUCCGUUGGUGGCAGUAAAUCCUGUCCCUAACCCUGCAGUACAGCUGUGCCGUGUACAGGAGGGUGCUGUCUGACGCCAGACACCUGGACUACAGAUCGCAGCCUGAUUCCUGGUCAUUGCUCCACUGAACCCCAGACCCCAGCCUCGUUCUGGGCCCUCAUCCCCUAGAUCCAGGGACCCCAGCCCCAUUUCAGCCCUUGGGCCCUUGUAGGAUGCGAGGCCCUGGGCCCCAGCCCCCAGCCCAUCCGUGGCCCAGGCACUGGGGGGCUGAGGUCCUCUGAGAAGGGACACAGGGCCUGGGGGGCUCUCUCAGCCCAUCAGCAGGAGAGGACUGACUCCAGAAAAAUCAGCGUUUGUACCCACUCAGGCUGCCAAGACCUGUGUCCGUCCUUCCAAGCUCAACCUUCAGAGUUCAUGAGGCCCCUUGCCCAGAAUGUCCACAGAGUUCAUGAGGCCCCUUGCCCGGAAUGUCCACAUUUGAAACCUCCCAACACCGAGCCCCAUUUCAAGUAUAACCAGGAGGGAAAAUGGUGCUUGAAAUAAGCAUGCCACAAAGGAAAACCUGCUUUCUCGAAAUGGGCCCUGGCCGCCCAGGCCCUGACCUCCCCGGCCAGGAUGGAACGUUCCAGAGACCCAUUAGUGCCAAAGGCAAAUGAAAACACACCCUGUGAAAAUGUC
rnacentral:lncRNA from 1 species